UACGUAGGGUCCAAGCGUUGUUCGGAAUUACUGGGCGUAAAGCGCGCGUAGGCGGACCUGCAAGUCAGGGGUGAAAUCCCGGGGCUCAACCUCGGAACUGCCUUUGAUACUGCAAAUCUCGAGUCCGGAAGAGGUGAGUGGAAUUCCUAGUGUAGAGGUGAAAUUCGUAGAUAUUAGGAAGAACACCAGUGGCGAAGGCGGCUCACUGGUCCGGUACUGACGCUGAGGUGCGAAAGCGUGGGGAGCAAACAGG
rnacentral:rRNA from 1 species